CUGCCUGCAUCCAUGUUUCCAUGUUUUAAAAAAAAAUAAUAAUAUUUGUUUGUAUAAACUUGCUUGCCUCUAAAAAGAGGUCUUAAUUUACUGCCACAUAUCUGGUAAGUGGAAUGCACAAAGAUAGGUAAUUUCUAUAAUUUCAGGAAGACUUCAAAAUGAGCAUUAAACAUCCCUGGAAUGUUAGAUACACGCACAGAGGUCCGCCUACAUACACAUCUCUAUUUAAUUGCUUGCUGUCUUUUUCUGUGCAGAGGUAGGUCACCAUGACCAUAUGAAACCAUUCAAUGAGUCCCAGUGGGAUAAGAGUUUUCUGACCCAGUGAAUGUGUGUGUCAGACACAAAACAUUUACACACAAAUGCAGAAUCACAUUCAACUUUAUAGGUGUGUCCAGCCAAGUCAUAGAAACACAAGAUGCAGAUUAUUUUUUGCUAGUUACAGACACUGAGAUAUACCAAUCCAUUUGUUUAUACAUAGAAUUCAUAUACAUACUUUUAAAAAAAAUGACAGCUAUAGCAUUGUAAAAAUGAAUAAAAACCAUUUUCCAUCUAAAAAUUAUAAUGAUAAAGCAGUUGAUAUUCCCCAAGAUCUCUAUUCUACCAGCAUUACUUUUUCUUUCACAUAUUUUUAUUUUUAAAUAUCAUCAUUGUGGGUUGUUGGUCAAAUAGGCCAACAAUCCACAAGGGCAGCAAAAACAUUAAGGAGAUCAGGAGUGGCAUUAUGAUAGAGGCAUUUGAAGUGUCUGAUCUGCCGGAACUAUGGCCCUUGAAUCGGGUACCAAACAGGGUAAUAUUAAUUCUGUUCUCUUCUCUUCUUUGUCUUAUUGUCCGCUGAGCAGGAAAAAAGAACAGAAUAGAAAAAUUAAGUGUGCGGGUCACAGCAAUUUCACCAUGGCAAUGGACAUGUACUAACUCUGAUUUCCAACAGGCACCUUUUAUAAAAUUUGGGCUAAGGCACUGCAGGGGUUCAGAUGCUGUUGGAAGAUCAAACUUGAGUUCUGUACCUGACCACUGAAAGCCAUAGUACUUAAGCUAUAGCUCAACUAUGUAGCUUCACUAGACCCCAUAGGACAUUUUUGGGGUAUACCAUUAGGUAGUUUCAAUGGGUACUAUGUAAUGUGCAAUUUAACAGUACCCUCUCUGAAUUAUUUAAGACUCAGAGACUAAUCAACAAGUAUCUUACAAUUCUUAAGGACGAUGCUAACAGCUGAUAGGUAGAUUCAAUAAAUGUGGGUGGCUGCUAGCAUCGUAUAGGUAGUUGAUAUAAAUGCUCAGAUAUAUUUAUUUAUAUCUUUGAUUACUUGGCACUACGCGACUUUAAUGAUAAUUAUAAGCAAAACAGAAUAAAAGACUAACUUCUUGGCCCACUGCACUGAAGAAACUCCCUCUUUAUCUACCUCAAUAUACCCAGGGGAAUGAUCCCUUGUGUUGCUGCAGCAAGAGCCUACUGCAGCAAAUAAUCCCUCACUUGCUUCCCUUGCUGAAGGUAUGUUCCAGUGGACCGUCCUCGUCCUUGUAUCUAUCUAUGGUGACAUCCACUCCAACACUUAUCAUGGACAUUGCGUGCAUGUAAGAGGUUGUUUACAAAUCCACAUGUGCAGUGGCACCAAUACAUGGAGUAUGAUGGAACACACUAUCCCUAUUAAUGCAAAGGCACUUCUUUCAGGACACUGCUAUUGAAAACACUGAUGUGCUAGUCUACUAGGUCUAACUUCAUGGACGCAAGUCUCUUUUCAGUACUUGAUGGACGUAAGUCUCUUUUCAGCUAUGUAACUAUGUAACUAUAUGUAACUUAGUAGCGAUCCAGCAUGGCCUGGAAGUCAUCGUCAGCCAACUAUGUCUAGUUAGGUUAAGUUCAUCCAAUAUAGUUCUAUUUGUCCUGUCAAAGAUUUGUAUUGUCUAGAUCAGUUGUUAAAAAUGCUAUUGCGAUAACCUUUUUUUGCCAUAAACAUCACUAUAUUGUGUAUGACCCUGACCUUCAAACUAGGCUCACCACUAUCCAGCCCUAUUUUUUGCCACUCUCCAAGUUAUCUAGUCCACUGUCAAAACAAAAUUGGGAUGCCUAUUUACUCGUAUCAUCAUUUCAGCAUUGUUUACAAUGACAUUUAAGUUCUAAAAUGAUACAAUAUUUGCAACUAAUAAAAGAUAUUAAACGGACAAUAGGUUAUCUUUUGACAAAUGGGUAUUACAGGUAGUUAUACAAUCAAAGAGCUAGUGGUCAGAAUGGCACAAGGUCUGGUUAUGGUGUAAGAUUAACAUGGCAAUUAUAGAUAUAAAGCACAUUUCUACUGAAUGACCCCCCGGAGUUUUUUGUUUUUUUCCAACUAAUGGCAUAUAAGAUCUGUGACCCAAGUUGCAUAAAAGUCCCAGAUGCAUAAUCCCAUGGAACUGCAAAGUAAAAUUAUUAAUAUUAUUUUAAGGUCUGAGUUAAAACUCAGUUUAUCUCACAACGAAUAUUUGCAAUGCAUCAAAAAUAUCUAUAAAGUGCAAGUAUGCAUAUAUCUAUCUAUAUAUACAUACAAAAACACACAUAUAUAUAGCAAGACUCAAACUGCCAAGUCCUAUGUUCCAAGACAGAAAUAAAAAUUGCUCACCACCGCAAGCCUAAAGGGCACACUCAGCAAAAGUACAUUUCUACUCGCCAAUGGCCAGUGGAAAUUUUGAGCCCUGGCUUUAAGUCUUACAUUUUAUUUCCCAGAAAUUGUCUGAUUGAACCUGUGCACAGAUCAAAUAUGGACUGUUACAGAGGGUUCAUAAGAUAAGCUAAAAUGUAAGCAUCCUUAUGGGCUUUCUUACAAAAUUAAUUUAACUUUACAGAAAAUUAUACUAUAACAUUUCAGUUUUCAUGUGUAAACUAUAAUGUGAAGGGGUACUCUAAGCAAGGUAACCAUCACAGCUCAAUGUAAUGGUUAAGCUGUCAAUAUACAGUAUAUUGGGCAUUGUCCAACUAUUGAACUAUUUUGAAAAAUAUAGGGCUUUACAUGGAAACUAGAGACUGCACCCCCAGGUGGAUUGACCGUCAAUGUCAAUUCUAUCCAACUAGUGAUUUUCUAAAAUGGUUUCAGCUGUAAGCACUCCCCUCCCCCUCCCCCCCACACCCUCAUGCCACAGGGUCGGUUAUACAAAGGGGGGUACACAAUAUGCAAGUUUAUAUCUUCUCUUUUGUAGCUUGUUAUAAGUGUGCUUUACACAUGAAAAAUGUGAACGAAGCUGUCGAUAAAUAUACACAAGUUGACUUGCAGCUUGUACCACAUGCAGAAGUUUUAUUUAUGUUUCUUUUUUUUUAAACAUACCGGUAAAUUAAAUUGCUACUAACUACUGAAUUAUAUAACCUAUAAAGAUCAGCUAUGGAGGAAUAUAUGGGAUAUGCUCAAUAUCCAUCCCCCAAAAUAAAGGAUUGACUGUAGGUGGUCAGGUUAUUCUGAUGUGGGUAGAGUUCACUGUAGAUCCUGUGGAUUUGAAGCAACUCAGGCACUUUAAAGGUGUUUAUCGUUUUUUUAAAUUUUUUUAUAAUUUUUUUGCGCAUGUUUUAAGGUGUUCUUUAAUUUGCCAUUCUGUUGGGGCUGCUUAUGUUAAACUAAAGUGCAUGGGCAGUGCAUUGUAAAAUCACACUUUAUUAUUUUAUGACUCUAGUGUACCCUUAUAGAGCACUUUUCAAAUAUAUGUCCGAUAAGAAAUGAUAGGAAAUGAAAUCGUGGAAGUUAAUAUUUGCACUUUCAGUUACACAGUGUACACCAAACCUGCCAUGUAAACAUAUACACUAUUAUGCCUAAUAAAAUAAAUAUAAUUUAUAUUUUAUUUUUAUAUAUUUAUGUAUAACUUUAGUCUAAGUGGUGGAAUACCUGGUAGGUUGGGGUUUAGCUUUCUUGAUAGCUUAACCAGUGCAACAAAGUGUUUUUCUUAUAUUUUUUGUUACAAUUUGUUUUAUUUGGACCUCUGAUUAUGUAUUAUAAAGUAUAGUGUUUUACUAUUUGUUGUGAUUCAUUUAAAACAUACCUUUUUCGGUCUUACUGGAAUUGGCAUUUUUUUACUCUUAACGUGUAGUGCCACCUGCAAAAGGGUACCCCUGCAAUUCAGCUCAAAGCAUUAAUAAUAUAUGGGUUUUCGGACACAUAAAUGCAUUUAGCAACUUAUACGGUUUGCACUCCCGUACAUAGAAACAUAGAAACAUAGAAUGUGACGGCAGAUAAGAACCAUUCGGCCCAUCUAGUCUGCCCAAUUUUCUAAAUACUUUCAUUAGUCCCUAGCCUUAUAGUUAGGAUAGCCUUAUGUCUAUCCCACGCAUUUUUGCAUUUAAAGGUAAGUGCACAUUUGCACUUACCUUUAGGCACACAGGGGAAUUACAACAAGAGCAUGUUGGAGAAUAGGUUAUGUCUCCAAUUGUAAUAAGAGUCAGAUAAAAGGGCUUGAAAAACUGUACGUCUAAAUUUGUUAUAUGUGUACACUUUGCAUGCUAUGGCCAUACACAUAACACUAUUCUGUUUGGCUAUAUCGGUUUUGCUGCUUUCAAGUCUGUGCGUAUGUGUGUGUGUAUAUAUAUAUAUAUAUAUAUAUAUAUAUAUAUAUAUAUAUACAUAUAUAUAUCAUAAGGUCAUCCAGCUUCAUAUAGGGUUUAAAAUUUCAAGUCCAAUGCCUGGUGAAAAAGUCACUUGCCACUACAAACCUUCCCUAUUAUAUGUAGUCUUUAAACAACUACUGAUGACCUCAUAUAUCAGCCCUG